UGAAUACGAGAUGCUACGGCGUCGAAGCAGUCUAUGUCAUACUUCCAAGAAAAGCUCGCACUGUCAUAAACAAAUAAUGCCUGUACCAUAACCGACACAGGUGGGUAGGUAGAGUAUACUAAGGGGCGCGAGAUAACUCUCUCUAAGGAACUCGGCAAAAUGACUCCGUAACUUCGGGAGAAGGAGUGCCUUAUUUAUAAGGUUGCAAUAACAAGAUCCAAGCAACUGUUUAUCAAAAACACAGGUCUCCGCUAAGUCGUAAGACGAUGUAUGGGGCUGACGCCUGCCCAGUGCCAGAAGGUUAAAGAAGUUGGUUAGCAUUCGCGAAGCCGAUAACUGAAGCCCUGGUGAACGGCGGCCGUAACUAUAACGGUCCUAAGGUAGCGAAAUUCCUUGUCGGGUAAGUUCCGACCCGCACGAAAGGCGUAAUGAUUUGGAUACUGUCUCGGAGAGGGGCUCGGUGAAAUAGACUUGUCUGUGAAGAUGCGGACUACCUGCACCAGGACAGAAAGACCCUAUGAAGCUUUACUGUAACUUGAGAUUGAAAUUGGACUUUACUUGCGCAGUAUAGGUGGGAGGCAUUGAUAAUAUUCUUGCGGGAUUAUUUGAGCCAUCAGUGAGAUACCACUCUUGUAAUGUUAGAUUUCUAACUUUGUAUCAUUAUCUGGUCAAAGGACAGUUUCAGGCGGGCAGUUUGACUGGGGCGGUCGCCUCCUAAACGGUAACGGAGGCGCACAAAGGUUUCCUCUGAACGGGUAGAAAUCGUAUCUAGAGUGUAAAGGCAUAAGGAAGCUUGACUGUGAGACCUACAAGUCGAGCAGGGACGAAAGUCGGUCUUAGUGAUCUGACGGUGCUGAGUGGAAAGGCCGUCACUCAACGGAUAAAAGUUACUCUAAGGAUAACAGGCUGAUCUCCCCCAAGAGUUCACAUCGACGGGGAGGUUUGGCACCUCGAUGUCGGCUCAUCGCAUCCUGGGGCGGUAGUACGUCCCAAGGGUUGGGCUGUUCGCCCAUGAAAGCGGUACGCGAGCUGGGUUCAGAACGUCGUGAGACAGUUCGGUCCAUAUCCGGUGUAGGCGUUAGAAUAUUGAGAGGAGCCUUCUUUAGUACGAGAGGACCGAGAAGGACAUACCUCUGGUGUACCAGUUAUCGUGCCAACGGUAAACGCUGGGUAGCUAUGUAUGGAGUGGAUAACCGCUGAAAGCAUCUAAGUGGGAAGCCCACCUCAAGAUAAAUAUUCUCAC
rnacentral:rRNA from 1 species